rnacentral:rRNA from 1 species
GACGAACGCUGGCGGCGUGCUUAACACAUGCAAGUCGAACGGAAAGGCCCUGCUUUUGUGGUGUGCUCGAGUGGCGAACGCGUGAGUAACACGUGAGUAACCUGCCCUUGACUUUGGGAUAACUUCAGGAAACUGGGGCUAAUACCGGAUAGGAGCUCCUGCUGCGUGGUGGGGGUUGGAAAGUUGCGGCGUUUGGGGAUGGACUCGCGGCUUAUCAGCUUGUUGGUGGGGUAGUUGCUUACCAAGGCUUUGACGGGUAGCCGGCCUGAGAGUGUGACCGGCCACAUUGGGACUGAGAUAGGGCCCAGAAGGCUACGGGAGGCAGCGGUGGGAAAUAUUGCACAAUGGGCGGAAGCCUGAUGCAGCGACGCCGGGUGCGGGAUGACGGCCUUCGGGUUGUAAACCGCUUUCGCCUGUGACGAAGCGUGAGUGACGGUAAUGGGUAAAGAAGCACCGGCUAACUACGUG